rnacentral:rRNA from 1 species
GUGGGGAAUAUUGCGCAAUGGGCGAAAGCCUGACGCAGCGACGCCGCGUGAGGGAUGAAGGUUUUCGGAUCGUAAACCUCUGUCAGAAGGGAAGAAACUACAUUGUGCUAAUCAGCAGUGUACUGACGGUACCUUCAAAGGAAGCACCGGCUAACUCCGUGCCAGCAGCCGCGGUAAUACGGAGGGUGCAAGCGCUAAUCGGAAUUACUGGGCGUAAAGCGCACGUAGGCUGUAGUGUAAGUCAGGGGUGAAAUCCCACGGCUCAACCGUGGAACUGCCUUUGAUACUGCACAACUUGAAUCCGGGAGAGGGUGGCGGAAUUCCAGGUGUAGCGGUGAAAUGCGUAGAUAUCUGGAGGAACAUCAGUGGCGAAGGCGACACCCUGGACCGAUACUGACACUGAGGUGCGAAAGCGUGGGUAGCGAACAGGAUUAGAUACCCCUGUAGUCC